UACAGAGGGUGCAAGCGUUAAUCGGAAUUACUGGGCGUAAAGCGUGCGUAGUCGGUUAUCUAAGUCGGGUGUGAAAUCCCCGGGCUCAACCUGGGAAUUGCAUUCGAUACUGGAUAGCUAGAGUUCGGCAGAGGGAAGCGGAAUUUCCGGUGUAGCGGUGAAAUGCGUAGAUAUAGGAAGGAACACCAGUGGCGAAGGCGACCACCUGGACUGAUACUGACACUGAGGUGCGAAAGCGUGGGGAGCAAACAGG
rnacentral:rRNA from 1 species